rnacentral:rRNA from 1 species
AUGCUAGGUAUCUGCAAAGAAACAGUUAUGUUCCCAGUUGACAAAAUCUCUAGUUGUUCAAAUGUGCAGUUGUGGCACUUAUGGACUAGCAAGGACCAUUUGCAGUUGCUCCUGUUGGUGGAAGAGCAAGCAAUAGUGCUUCGAAAGGAUCUACCUUUUAAAACUUCUCUAUGGCGAUCCUUUGCCCCAGAAAUGCAGAAAUUGAGAUGUGUGAUAGUUGGUACCACUAUCUAUAGUAGGCUGGUUGGUCCUACAAUGUUGAACCUUAUAAUCUUCUGCACCCUUGUUUGGAUGAUUUAG